AUGAAUACGUGGGAGAGUUAAGCCAUAUUAGUUUUGUUUCGCGUCUUAUUUUUUUUUCUAAGGCUUCAUAACAUAGAGUUACAGAGAAGAAGAAAACACAGAGUAUUGAGAGUGAGAAAUUGAGAGGGUAAUCUCUGAGAUUUCAAGAGGAAGGAGAGGAUUGCUAAACCUUGUUAUCAUCAUUUGCUAGCAUAUAAUCAAGGUAUAAACUAUUUCUAUUUUUACUGUUAGUUUGGUGGUAUCUAUAUGUAUAUUUGAUACAAUUUGAAAAUCACGUGAAUUGUGAUGUAUAUAUGUUCAUAUAGAAUUUUAAAACUCUGUUAAUUAUCAUGUAAACAUGUUAUUUGUUAUCAAAUUCAUGAGAAAUUGGGUUUGAAGAAGAAAAUGAAAUCACAGUGUUUAUGUUCAUAAAAAGUAGCUUAGAAAGUACCAAAUUUCUUGUCCAAUAUGUGAUAUAAUCUGUAAUUUGUUGGUGAAUUGUGAAAAUAUAUUAAAAAACGAAAACAUCGUAGUUUAAAUCAUGUCUAUUGGUUAAGAAACGAAUUCGUGGCAGUCGAAUUCGUUAAAAGUAUAAAAAUGAGGAAAUUUAGGAAAAAUAUAGUUUUGAUUCUUCAAAAUGAUGUUUAUAUAAUAUUUUGUGUAUAGAAUGGUGUUUAGCAUGUAUAACUAUAAAUAUGGCAAAGUUUUAGAUGUUGAAGUGUGGUGAAAUUCUGUAAAAUAGGAUUUUUGGCCAAAGCAAAGUCUGUUUUCGAGGUUCUGCAAAUCUGAGUUUGGUGCAUCGCGCGGGCGCGCUGCCUGGCGGGCGGUUGUAGCGCGAGCGCGCAACAUUUGGGCGCGGUUGAGCGGAGUCGAGCGGGCGCGCGAUAGCCUAGUGUGUUACUGGCGCGGCCAUGCGAGUAGCCUGUCACAGACAGUGAAGUCUGCUUAAUUGCAGGUCAUGCGUAACGAACUUAGGUUAGUUUAGCAUGCAUGUUAAGGAUAUUAAAACAUAAAGUGGACUACAAUAACAUAUUGUAAGGUGUUGUAAUACAAAGUAUAAAAGAGUUUUAGGUGAUUGUUUGUGACGCCCCCAAAAUAGGUCCAAUCCAUCAAACCUAUUCUGAGUCACCAAAUACAUAGUACAGAAAACAACUAUAACUUUAUUACUACAAUUGUCGUGCAAAAUACAACAACACAUAUACUGUGAGUUUUAAUACCAACUGUGACUCAUGUCCCAACUAUGGACAACACCUCACAGUGAUACCUUACAUAAAGGUACAAUCUAGAACUGUUUUAGAAAUUAAAAUAUUUAGAAAGUGCUCAAGGAAACCUUCGUACAUAGGAGGCCAUGAAUCUAAGUUAUGAUAGAUAUCAUAUGUCCAGAGAAUUAUCCUUGGUUGAUCCAAUAGACCCCAAAGAAAAAUGAGAAGGUUACUAUCAUGUUCCUUCCAAUGGUGAGUCUUCUCUUGACAUAUAACUAUCUCCACCGUCUGUGAUUGAACAUUAUGUUUCAACCCAACUCCAAGAUCAUAUAGGUAGUGCUCGUAGAUAUACUCAGCAAGUGGAUGUGCACAACCCUUUCUUAUGAUAACACGAGAUUGUAUGUCAUUAGACAUCUUGUAUGAUAGUGGCAAAACACCCUUCCAAAGUUUGGUUCACCUCACCCUAUUGUUGUUCACCAAAAUCAAUUAUUAAGUGACGUAUAAUAUACGACACACACAUCUUAGGUCCUCAAUACAAUUAUAUAUUGUAUGUCAUGCCGUUUUAUAAUGUGUUGAGAAACUUUGAUAGUCUCGGACCACCACACUAUUCCCCUGUUAUCCCCGCUCGACCCAGCUACACUCCUAUUACUUGAAAGGAAUUGUGAAGCAAAAAGGGUGAGCACAACUAGCCUAGUAAAGAAUAUCAUAGCUAAAGAUAAUUAAAUUAUCAAUAGCCUUCAUCAGUAAUAAUUCAUAGAUUUAGAACAUAUGGUAGAUGAUAAAACUUUUCAACCAUAGUUGUAGCGGAACGAGCAAUCCAUUAGAAGAGUCAAAUAGACCAUAAAGUCUAUUAUCUUCUCCAUGUUAAAAGUCCACCAACAAUGUUUUAUCCCUGUAACAUCAAUCAACAGUUCCUGUCCACAAUCAUGUGAAUAACUCAUAAUCAUAAUUGUGGUUCUAAAUUCCUCUUCUCAUCCAGGACGAAGAUAAUUUUCAUCACAUGUCUUUACCUGAAACAUCAAAGAUCAUGGUUAUACCAAAUCACAGUUCCUGUUCAUAAUCAUACUAAUAAGUUCAUCUUUGCACUACGGGACAAAGAUAUUCAUUAACAGUUCAUCUUUGCACUACAUGCCAAUGAUAUUCAGCAACAUGUCAUCUUUGCACUACGUGCCAAAGAUAUUCAAUAACAGGUCAUCUUUGCACUACAGGCCAAAGAUAUUNNNNNNNNNNNNNNNNNNNNNNNNNNNNNNNNNNNNNNNNNNNNNNNNNNNNNNNNNNNNNNNNNNNNNNNNNNNNNNNNNNNNNNNNNNNNNNNNNNNNAUAACACCUUAAUCCAAAUGUUAUAAAUCACUUAAUAAUCUCAUAAUCUAAUAUUAUUAAUAUUACCAUAAUAUUUUAAUCAUUUCUUAAACUUAUAAACAAUUUAUUUUAAUUGUUUACACUUUACUAAUUAAUGCAUUUAAUCAUACUAAAAUGCUAAACUCAUAAGAUUUCAUCAUCAAUAACCAACAACCUCAUCAAAAAUCUGCAUAUAUCAUAUAUAAGCCAUAAAAUCCUAUUUUUCAAUUUUGUUACUUCACAUAACAUAUUUAUUUUAUUUAUUUAUAACUAGUCCAUUUUUAUGAAAAAUACCAAAUCAGUUCAAAAAAUAUUUCUUUUCUGAGAUUUAGCAUAAUAUGGUCCCAUAUUAAACAUAUAUUUUUCUCGAAAUUUUUAAAAUUCAUUUACUAUUUUUCACAUGGCCAAAACUGCCGAAUAUUUAGACAUUUAUCAUAAAUUGUACUUUUGUCCAAAAAUUCCAAAAUUUACAGAAUAUACUGAUGUUAUAUAGAUGUACUCCCAAUAAAAAUUUUACUAAUUUUGGAGUUAACCACAAGGAGUUAUAAGCGUUUACUUUUAAAAUAGUCUUUUCUCAUAAAAUCCAUAACUCUUAAUCUAUACAUCCAAAAAUUGCCAUUUUUGGACACAAUCAAGGAAACUCAUCAUAUUAUUAUUUCAAAUUUUUCUAGAAUUUUUGAAGGUCCGAAAAAAGUACGAAACUGAAAAACAUAAUAACCCUUAAAAAUCCCUUACCUCAAAAGAGCAGUACUUCUGACCGGAAUAUCGGAUGUAAAGCCGAAAGAACCUUGCACUGGAUAAAACUCUCAAAGUAUCUAAAUACUCACAAAAAUGCGCUUAAUAAUAUAGAGAGAAAGAAAACUUGUUUCUGGUGUGAUUUUCAAUUCUAACAUAAGCACCUAUUUAUAGGAAAAUGCUUGAACGCCAAAGAAGACUAAAUUAAUAAAAUAUUAAUUUUUUAUUUCCUUCUUUCUACGCCUACCUUAUUAGAAAGCCAUCAGUAAGCUAGCCAUCUUGCAACAACAAUUCAGCCCACAUGUUUUGAAAAGUAAAAGUGGGUCCCACCCAUAAUUUUAAUAAAAAAUAUUUUAUUUUCCGAAACUUCAGUAAUUCAUAGAAAAUAGCCCGUUUAUCAGAAAAAUACAAAUUUUAUAUCCAUUCCGCAUGAAAUCGAAUUCUCUACAACUUUGUAUCUUUGAGUUUUUCCAAAUUCCAAACAGAAAAUAUCCGAAAUCCAUAAACGGAUGAUUUUCAACACCGUUUCAACACCUUUUAAAAUUCAUAACAAAUCAUGCGUUAAUUUUCAACGGUUCAAAAUUUGUGGACAUAUACUCAACUCAUAUAUGUAUAACAUAUCCAAAAAUCACAAUGAUCCAACGGUCGGAUUAAAAUUACAACUCACGCAAUAAAGCUUUAAGAACACCGAUUUGAGUUUUUAAUACCUCCAAUCCGACAAAAUACUGAUAAAACACCUCAACAUUAAUUCCUUCAUUUAUAACCACAUAAAUAAAUCCAUCAUUUAUAUCCACAUCAAAUAAAUAUUUCCUUAUCAUAUAAAUCAAUAAUUAAUUAUUCACAAAUAAUAUUACAGAAUCACAAUUAUGACAACCAGGCCGUUCCCAGGAAAGAGGGGGCUUUCCAAUAAGGAUUUCUCCUUACUGGCGCGCAAUUAGGUGACCAAACCUCUCCUUAACAGAACUUUCUAGACAUUGCCAAUAAUGCUAUCUAAUAAUAUUAUUCAAAUAAUAUGAAUUAUUGAUCUGAUAAUGGGAAAUACUGUGCAGUGACAAUUAUUGAAACAACAAUAAUAUAAAAUAUCAACGCAGCAAUUAUUGAAUCAAUAAAAUAAAAUAUUGAACAGUAACUACUGUAACAAUUAUUGAGUAGUGCGUCUUACUUACGAAUCAAUAAUUCAACAAUACUGUGCAAUACCGUGUACUACUAUGCAACCAUGCAUAUUAUUGUAUUUUAACCACCAGGUAACCUAAUAGUGUUAACGGUAACAAUUACGCCGUUAUUCAUAAAAACUCAUACUUUGUCGUUUUCUUCAUCUGGCAGUUAUUCCGUUAUGAGGCCCACAAAUGACUGCGCCGUCGUAUGAAUAUUCCCCGACAACAAGAAUAUUCUACGACCAAACGAAUAUUCCCCGACAAAAAUGAGUAUUUUAUAACCACUUGCGUAUUUUAAAAAUUUUACAUAUAUCACCCUUAACUUUAAACUUUUAUCAAUUUAACCAUUUACUGAAUAAUAAUUAUAAGAAAAAUUGAAUACUUUUAUUUCAUAAAAUUCGGGGUCUUACAUUGUUAAUUGAGUUAUAUAAUGAAAUUAAAAGUGAUAUUUUCAAAAAUUAGAAAUGAGCGAGUAAGUUAUGUUGGCUGGUAAUGCGAUUUCAGAUUUGUUAAGUAUGUUAACCUAAAUUGUUAGGUGCUAGGUUAGGGUUAUGACCUAAAUGAUGGUUUAAUAUCCAUAGUGUUAAUAUUCGUACAACUAAUUGUUGUUGCGAUUGAAAUGAUAUGUGUAGGGUAAUUGGAGAUUAUUUUACACUUGUGUAGCUUACAAAUAAGGCAAGUUCCUAAACCUUAACUCUUUACAUUGAGCAAGCUUUCUAACUUCAUUCUUUUCAUAUUGAAUGCAUGUUCCCAUUCCCAAAUCGUUAUUGUACAAGUUCCUAAAAUUCUUGUAAGGUUGAGCAAGCCUAGUUUAUCUUGAUUAUGUUUGUGCAAGCUCUUGUAACCUAAUUCGUUACAUCGAGCGAGCUUUAUUUUCCUUAUUAUCAUUCGAAGCAUAUAUUGUUCUAAUACAUUGGUUCAUAGAAGAUUGUUCUAAACUCCUUUGAAUAUAGCACUUUACAUGUAUAUCAUGUUAUUCAGUUAUAUAUAUUGUUGAUAUCCGAACUUUGACUCUAAUAGCCUUGUUCAGCUAUACAUUCUUGUAUUAAACCUUUAUUGAUGGAAGUUGAAUAGUGUUCUAAAAUUCUAGAGACACUGAUAAGCUAGUUACAAACUAAACUUUCUUUAGUGCGGAAAUUCUAAAUUCAAACUGAGACGAACAACCUUAAUAUAGGAGAUUUUUGUACGUGUAACGUUUAGAUGUUUGUGCACAAUACAUGGUACAGAGGGCUGAUCCCCCUAAGUACGUUAAGAAGGGUCUGUACAGUUUAAUGACUGUUAAGGUUAAGGUAAUAAUACCUAUAUACCGGAGACAUAGUUCGUGGUCUUAAGACCCUCAGACAUUGAUUUCGAACUUGUUUUCUAUUCUUAAUUCACAGAACAAGUUCAUUAUUGCUAGCAUUCGUUGUUCAUUCUCAUGUUGUUAUUAUUACUACUUCCUAUAUUAGUGAGCAAUUGUUUGCUCACUCUUGCAUUUAACACUGCAGCUAAAGUUGAGAAAGUUAAUGAGCCGUCUACUAGCAAAGAAAAGGGAAAGAUGUCCAAAUGUUGAAGACGUAUGA
rnacentral:lncRNA from 1 species